UACGUAGGCAGCAAGCGUUGUUCGGAAUUACUGGGCGUAAAGAGUGUGUAGGCGGUGCUCUAAGUUUGUCGUGAAAUCUCCCGGCUUAACUGGGAGGGUGCGGCGGAAACUGGGGUGCUAGAGGGUGGGAGAGGAAAGCGGAAUUCCUGGUGUAGCGGUGAAAUGCGUAGAUAUCAGGAGGAACACCUGCGGUGUAGACAGCUUUCUGGACCGCUUCUGACGCUGAGACACGAAAGCGUGGGUAGCAAACAGG
rnacentral:rRNA from 1 species